rnacentral:snoRNA from 1 species
CUUCGAUGAUGAUCUCAGAUGACGAGUCUAAGCACUUUGCUAUGCUGAUACAAUCUUACCUACCAUUCAUGCAUUACCUGACG